ACAACUCUCUCUAUCUCUACCACACUCUCUCACACAUUCAGAUUCCCCCCCACCACCUCCCACCUCUCACCACCAUCAACCAACAACCACCACCAUUAACCCACCUUCCAUCGCCACCACCAUCAACCCACAACCACUCGCCACCCACCUGCUAUCAACCCACCACUACCCGCUCAGAAAUUCCCACCACCAUCCAACCCCGGCGUUGCCUAACAUCCAUCGCCGUCACAGCCACUACAACCAGCCUUCAAAAAGCACCAUCGUCGGAACCCUGGAACCCUCGUCGGAACCCUGGAACCCUCAUCGCCGCACCCAAACGCCCUAUUUUCGUCGUGAUUUUGUGACCGAGAUCGACAUCUUCUUGUUAUUAGGUAGCAACAUCAUUGGGGCUUCAUAUUCCUCAUCAAAUGGCAAAUUCUUUAAUGCAUCACAGUAUGCUUUUUUCGGCAGUCACGGUGGCAGCAGGGUGUUUGGUGGUGGUGGUGGUGGUGGAGAGAAGUUAUUUACAUAUUUAGUCCUUUAAGGUGAAAUGACAAAAAUAUCCUCACAUGCAAGUCACAUGAUAAGAUUUAAUAAAAAAAUCUAACUGGUUAGGGUUAAAGGACAAAACGUGUAACAAAAUUCCAUAUAAAGGGCAAAACCAGUCAACAUUCGUUGAAAAGGACACCGCCUGCAAAAGGGUAUCAAGAUAAAGGAAAAAACGUGUAAUUUUUCCUUUUUCAAAAGAAAGAAUGAAGAACAAGUAAAGGGAAUUGUUGAUGGAAAUAAUGAGAUUAAACGUCAAAAAGCUUCAACAAGCGAACCGGUUAAUGAAGCGAAUAAUGAACCGAUUAAUGAAGUGAAUAAUGAACCGGUUAAUGAAGCGAAUCAAAACAUUCAACAAGAGCAUCAUGAUAUUCCUCAAAAUCCGUUUAACAUCAAUGAAGUGGAGGUUAGUAGUCUAGAAAGAGAUCCUGCUAAGCGACUUGGAAUGUGGAAAUAUCCGGUUUAUAUAAGGGAGCAAGUUUUGACAGCAACAACGGAAAUAGGAUUUCAGCAAUAAAAUAUUUAAGAAUUGCCUUCGCAAUAAGAUGUCAGGUCAGUAUCUAGCAAACAAUAUGGUGAUUUACAAAGGAGAUUGCUAUGAACUUUGAUUCGGAGUCCAUAAUUGAAGAAUUCAAAAAUCUUAAAGGAAGACGGGCAGAACUAUAAUUCUUCAUCCAGGAGAACCGGAUGCCCACCUUCCUCUCUCCUUUUUAAUGUUUUGGGCUCUUUGUUCAUUUGUUUGUUAAACAAUGUUUACGUUUCAAUGAUUUAGAACGUUUUUUUAUUUGAUAUUCAUGUUUGACCCGA